GAUGAACGCUGGCGGCGUGCUUAACACAUGCAAGUCGAACGGAAAGGCCCCUGCUUGCAGGGGUACUCGAGUGGCGAACGGGUGAGUAACACGUGGGUGAUCUGCCCUGCACUUCGGGAUAAGCCAGGGAAACUGGGUCUAAUACCAGAUAGGACGAUGGUUUGGAUGCUAUUGUGGAAAGUUUUUUCGGUGUUGGUUGAGCACGCGGCCUAUCAGCUUGUUGGUUGGGUAUUGGCCUACCAAGGCGUCGACGGGUAGCCGGCCUGAGAGGGUGUACGGCCACAUUGGGAUUGAGAUACGGCCCAGACUCGUACGGGAGGCAGCGGUGGGGAAUGGUGCACAAUGGGAGCAGGCCUGAUGCAGCCACGCCGCGUGGGGGAUGACGGCCUUCGGGUUGGAAACUCCUUUCGCUAGGGACGAAGCGAAAGUGACGGUACCUGGAGAAGAAGCACCGGCUAACUACGUG
rnacentral:rRNA from 1 species